UACGGAGGAUGCGAGCGUUAUCCGGAUUUAUUGGGUUUAAAGGGUGCGUAGGCGGAUUUUUAAGUCAGCGGUAAAAUGUCCGGGCUCAACCCGGGCCGGCCGUUGAAACUGGGGAUCUAGAGUGUGCGAGAGGUAUGCGGAAUGCGUGGUGUAGCGGUGAAAUGCAUAGAUAUCACGCAGAACCCCGAUUGCGAAGGCAGCAUACCGGUGCACAACUGACGCUCAGGCACGAAAGCGUGGGUAUCGAACAGG
rnacentral:rRNA from 1 species